CAAUAGCGUAUAUUAAAGUUGUUGCGGUUAAAAAGCUCGUAGUUGGAGUUCUGCCAGGUGCCGCCUGUCCGCCCCAGUGGUGAGUACGUGGCGCGCAUUUGGCCCUUUCAAGGGGAGCGUAUCUGCACUUUAUUGUGUGGUGCGGGAUCCUUGACUUUUACUUUGAGGAAAUAGGAGUGUUCCAAGCAGGCUCUCGUCGUGCACAGCUCAGCAUGGAAUAAUAGCAUUGGACCUCGAUUCUAAGCUGUUGGUUGCCAGAAGCGAGGUAAUGAUGAAGAGGGAUAGUUGGGGGCAUUCGUAUUUAACUGUCAGAGGUGAAAUUCUUGAAUUUGUUAAAGACGGACUACUGCGAAAGCAUCUGCCAUGGAUGUUUUCAUUGA
rnacentral:rRNA from 1 species